UUAAAAAAUCAUGUAAUACUACAUCAGUGUUAUGUUAUUGUAUGACUUCAUCUUUUAUACAGUCGGGUUCGGGGUUUCGGGCAGCCAUGGCGAAUUUCGGCAAGAUUUUACCCCAGUGAAAAAGGCUUGUAAUCCACAGUGAUCAGCUAAGAUGUUGUUUCACUGGAUUAUUUAAUUGGGCAUAUAAUUGGAUAUCUCUGGAUCAGCUGAGAUGUAAUCGAUCACAGGAUUAUUUAAUGCAUAGGCUAAUUGGGCAUAUAGUUGAAAAUCUCUGUCCUCAACCUGGAAGCCAUGUUUUGUUCCUAACCAUCUAUGAUUAAUUCUCUAUGAAGUUCAGACUGUCUGCUCUUCCUUUGGAAAUACACAGUUAGUCAACCAACAAAGAAACACACAAAACUUGAAGGAUUCUCUAGUGAGGGCUUAUGGAAAUGAUCUAUGUCUACUCUCAGAAUGGUGAAAGACUAUCAGAUUAUGCAAAGACUAACAGAAUAUCCUCUCUUGGAACACUGAAACAAGAAAAUCAAACAGGAGAUGGAUGGAGGAUUUAAGAAGCACAUAGAUAAAUAUGAUUUCCUACGAAUUUAACCAGUAUUAUCAUAGACUGUGGUUUACAGGAUGACAAAGUAACAGGAUUGUAUCAUUUUACUGUCAGACACUGACUAUGGAUAAGAUGUACCCAUUUAUUAAACUGAGAUCUAGUCAAAUCAAGUACAAUUGUAUUGAAAAAUGACUUUC